GACGAACGCUGGCGGCGUGCUUAACACAUGCGAGUCGAACGGAAAGGCCCUGCUUUUGUGGGGUGCUCGAGUGGCGAACGGGUGAGUAACACGUGAGUAACCUGCCCUUGACUUUGGGAUAACUUCAGGAAACUGGGGCUAAUACCGGAUAGGAGCUCCUGCUGCAUGGUGGGGGUUGGAAAGUUUCGGCGGUUGGGGAUGGACUCGCGGCUUAUCAGCUUGUUGGUGGGGUAGUGGCUUACCAAGGCUUUGACGGGUAGCCGGCCUGAGAGGGUGACCGGCCACAUGGGGACUGAGAUACGGCCCAGACUCCUAGGGGAGGCAGCAGUGGGGAAUAUUGCACAAGGGGCGGAAGCCUGAUGCAGCAACGCCGGGGGCGGGAUGACGGCCUUCGGGUUGUAAACCGCUUUCGCCUGUGACGAAGCGUGAGUGACGGGAAUGGGUAAAGAAGCACCGGCUAACUACGU
rnacentral:rRNA from 1 species